UACGAAGGGUGCAAGCGUUGUCCGGAAUUAUUGGGCGUAAAGAGCUCGUAGGCGGUCUGUCACGUCGGCUGUGAAAACCCGAGGCUCAACCUCGGGCCUGCAGUCGAUACGGGCAGACUAGAGUUCGGUAGGGGAGACUGGAAUUCCUGGUGUAGCGGUGAAAUGCGCAGAUAUCAGGAGGAACACCGGUGGCGAAGGCGGGUCUCUGGGCCGAAACUGACGCUGAGGAGCGAAAGCAAGGGGAGCAAACAGG
rnacentral:rRNA from 1 species